UUCUUAAAGGUCCCGUGUCACUUUGAGUUUUCAACAAUAAUAUGAGUUCCCCCAGUCUGUCCAUGAUCCCCCAGUGGCUAGAAAUGGUGAUAGGUGUAAAUCGAGCCCUGGUUAUCCUGCUCUGCCUUUGAGGAAAUGAAAGCUCAGGUGGGCCAAUCUGGAACUUACACCUUAUGAGGUCAUAAGGGGCAAGGUUACCUCCCCUUUCUCGGCUUUGCCUGACCAGAGCAUUUGGCCCAUCCAUGAGAGAAAGACAUCAUGGCUUUCAGACCAGCAAACUGUCAGUUGGUCAAGGCCACACACCCCAGCCUCCACCUUGCCCCCGCCCCCCUCCUCAAAAGCUACAGACUCAGAAACAGCACAUCCCAAGGAAAUCUCAUUGUUGGACUGGCUCUAGUGGCUUUAAUUUUGCACCAAGGCUGUAUUUUGAAAAAAAAAAGACUUCAGAUAUGGUAUUAGGGGACCACUAAGGUCUAUAUAAAAGCAUCCAAGAGCACCAUGUCGUGGGACCUUUUAAAGGCAGCCAAAUGACUUG